CUUGACUUGAGCUGUUCGAAUAAACUUGCCGCUUUUGACACAUUGGUUUGUUCGUUCGGCUCGAGUUAAGA
rfam:Asian citrus Psyllid, Diaphorina citri - Florida Strain, whole genome shotgun sequence.